rnacentral:misc_RNA from 1 species
AUUGACGACAACGACUACGAAGUGAAGAUGCGCUCCCUGCGCCGCUUCAUCGAAGAAGGCAACAAGGUCAAGGUCACUCUGCGCUUCCGUGGUCGCGAACUUGCGCACCAGGAGUUGGGCAUGGAUGUGCUCAACCGUGUGCGUGAAGAUUUCGCUGAUAUUACCAAGGUCGAGCAGUUCCCCAAGAUGGAGGGACGUCAGAUGACCAUGGUGAUGUCUCCGAAAUAAACUGCCGGAACCAUCUGGUUCCGUUAGGACUUGCGAUGGCGGUGAUGUCCCCGGUCCCGGGGGUGGAUCCGUGUCUUCGGCGGGCCGGGAGUUUUCCGGCCC